GACAGAGGAGCCAAGCGUUGUCCGGAUUGACUGGGCGUAAAGCGCACGCAGGUGGUCGCGCAAGUGCUGUGUGAAAGCCGGUGGCUUAACUGCCGGAGGCCAUGGCAGACUGCGUAACUCGAGUCCGAGAGAGGUCCGUGGAAUUGCCGGUGUAGUGGUGAAAUGCGUAGAGAUCGGCAGGAACACCCAAGGAGAAAUCAGCGGACUGGCUCGGUGCUGACACUGAGGUGCGAAAGCGUGGGGAGCGAACUGG
rnacentral:rRNA from 1 species